rnacentral:rRNA from 1 species
UGGGGAAUAUUGCACAAUGGGCGAAAGCCUGAUGCAGCGACGCCGCGUGAGGGAUGACGGCCUUCGGGUUGUAAACCUCUUUCAGUAGGGACGAAGCGCAAGUGACGGUACCUGCAUAAGAAGCACCGGCUAACUACGUGCCAGCAGCCGCGGUAAUACGUAGGGUGCGAGCGUUGUCCGGAAUUACUGGGCGUAAAGAGCUCGUAGGCGGUUUGUCACGUCGGCUGUGAAAUCCUAGGGCUUAACCCUGGACGUGCAGGCGAUACGGGCUGACUUGAGUACUACAGGGGAGACUGGAAUUUCUGGUGUAGCGGUGGAAUGCACAGAUAUCAGGAAGAACACCGAUGGCGAAGGCAGGUCUCUGGGUAGUAACUGACGCUGAGGAGCGAAAGCAUGGGUAGCGAACAGG